GGAGAGGUGCGAGAGUGGCCGAAUCGGGCGGUCUCGAAAACCGUUGUCCCGUAAGGGACCGUGGGUUCGAAUCCCACCCUCUCCGCCA
rnacentral:tRNA from 1 species